AGGAUGAACGCUGGCGGCGUGCCUAAGACAUGCAAGUCGAGUGGGUUUAGACCCACGGCGAACGGGUGAGUAAUACCUAGGAAUGUAUCUUUAGUUGAGCAUAUCCCACCGAAAGGUGGAGCAAUUCUCAAUGUGAACGUAAGUUUAAAGUCGCAAGACGCUAAAGAAGCAGCCUGGGCACCAUCAGCUAGUUGGUAAGGUAAUGGCUUACCAAGGCUAUGACGGUUAGGGGCCCCGAGAGGGGAGACCCCCCACACUGGAACUGCGACACGGUCCAGACUCCUACGGGAGGCAGCAGUUUGGAAUUUUGGACAAUGGGCGAAAGCCUGAUCCAGCGACGCCGCGUGGACGAUGAAGGCCUUCGGGUCGUAAAGUCCUUUUGCUCGGGAACAAUUUUUGAGCGUACCGAGAGAAUAAGAGGUUGCUAACUCUGUGCCUAGCAGCCGC
rnacentral:rRNA from 1 species